UACAGAGGGGGCAAGCGUUGUUCGGAAUUACUGGGCGUAAAGGGCGCGUAGGUGGCCUUCUAAGUUGAACGUGAAAUCCCUGGGCUCAACCCAGGAACUGCGUCCAAGACUGGGAGGCUUGAAUCCGGGAGAGGGAUGCAGAAUUCCAGGUGUAGCGGUGAAAUGCGUAGAUAUCUGGAGGAAUACCGGUGGCGAAGGCGGCAUCCUGGACCGGCAUUGACGCUGAGGAGCGAAAGCCAGGGGAGCAAACGGG
rnacentral:rRNA from 1 species